rnacentral:rRNA from 1 species
AUUGAACGCUGGCGGCAUGCUUUACACAUGCAAGUCGAACGGUAAGAGGGAGCUUGCUCUGCUGUCGAGUGGCGAACGGGUGAGUAAUAUAUCGGUACGUACCCAAGAGUGGGGGAUAACGUAGCGUAAGGAACGCUAAUACAGCAUCCGAUAAAAGGUUGAAAGCAGGGGUUCUUUGGGCCUUGUGCUUUUUGCGCGCCCGAUAUCUGAGUAGCUAGUUGGUGAGGUAACGGCUUACCAAGGCGACGAUCCGUAGCUGAUCUGAGAGGACGACCAGCCACACUGGAACUGAGACACGGUCCAGACUCCUACGGGAGGCAGCAGUAGGGAAUUUUGAGCAAUGGGCGCAAGCCUGAUCCAGCAAUGCCGCGUGAGUGAAGAAGGCCUUCGGAUUGUAAAACUCUUUUAUCAGGGAAGAAACGAGAUUUGCUAAUAUCCAGACCUAAUGACGGUACCUGAAGAAUAAGCACCGGCUAACUACGUG